AGAGUUUGAUCCUGGCUCAGAUCGAACGCUGGCGGCAGGCCUAACACAUGCAAGUCGAACGGUAGCACAGAGUGCUUGCUCUCGGGUGACGAGUGGCGGACGGGUGAGUAAUGUCUGGGAAACUGCCCGAUGGAGGGGGAUAACUACUGGAAACGGUAGCUAAUACCGCAUAACGUCGCACGACCAAAGAGGGGGACCUUCGGGCCUCUCGCCAUCGGAUGUGCCCAGAUGGGAUUAGCUAGUAGGUGGGGUAACGGCUCACCUAGGCGACGAUCCCUAGCUGGUCUGAGAGGAUGACCAGCCACACUGGAACUGAGGCACGGUCCAGACUCCUACGGGAGGCAGCAGUGGCGAAUAUUGCACAAUGGGCGCAAGCCUGAUGCAGCCAUGCCGCGUGUAUGAAGAAGGCCUUCGGGUGGUAAAGUCUUUCAGCGAGGAGGAAGGCAUUAAGGUUAAUAACCUAGUGAUUUGACGUUACUCGCAGAAGAAGCACCGGCUAACUCCGUGCCAGCAGCCGCGGUAAUAC
rnacentral:rRNA from 1 species